rnacentral:lncRNA from 12 species
GGGACUGGAAGUAUUAGGCUCGUCCCAUGGGAGAAGAAGUGGUCCUCAGGGGCGCUGCGUGAUCGAGGACUCCAAGAGCUCCCCUUUGGGCCACUGAGAUCUGCACCUUGGCCUCCUAAGGUGGUCUGAACAGAUCACCACAGAUGCAGUGGCCUAAAGUCGCAGAAAUGUACUCUCCUGCUAUCCUGGGGGCUACAAGUCUCAAAUCCAGGUGUCAGCAGGGCCACACACUCUUCGAAAUUUCCAUAGGACACUGAGUCUCUUCCAGUUUCUCGGGGCUCCAGGAGGUUCCGGGCUUGUGAUGGCACGACUCCAGUCACACAGCCUUCUCCCCUGUGUCUCUGUGUCCUCUCUUAUUUGUAUAAGGGCUCACCACUGCCUUCAGGGGGAGCUCAUCUCAAGAUCCUUAACUACAUCCGCAAAGACACUUUUCCCCAAAUAAAUUCAGUCACAGGGACUGGAAGUUAGGACACGGUGUUGUCUUUUUAGGGGAUGCCGUUCAGCCCAAUACGAUGUCUUUCCUCCUACUGGGGACCUUGCACGGUCCCUCAAUUUCUCACCACCUCUCAGCUGCCUGGCAGAGGGACUCCUACGGCAUGUUGCCCCACUAGGUUGUUUAGGGAGGAGAUAGGAGGCUAUAGCCACGUGGGGACCUUGCUGUGGGGGUGAGUUGGGGGACUCACCUCCUUUGGAUUCCUGUCCCAGCACCUCCCAGUCUGCCUAUUGCUGUUUCAACAGCACCCUUUGUGCCUCUUUCUCUAACGCCUCUCCACUAUGGGGUACCUAUGGGAGAGAUGCCCUCUAGGAGGACGUGCUCACUGCGCCCUAUGCCCCAGCCUCUCUGCUAAUGCCCGGCCCGACAGCCACCAAGCUGUGAGGAGUGACAAAGCUUUGUAUUCCUUACAGAGAUCUCAGCCGCCCAGGCGACCCCUCCCCAGGUGUGGAUGCGGUCCUCAGAGCAGGAUCGAGGGAACUGGGGAAGACCACAAGGGCUGUCAUCUCGGGUACCUGGAGGAAGCCCCAGGCUGCCCCGCCGGGUGGGGUUCUCAGGGCCAGGAUCCAUCAAGAACCAGAGAGUCGGGACCCCUGGGUGGCGCAGCGGUUUGGCGCCUGCCUUUGGCCCAGGGCGCGAUCCUGGAGACCCGGGAUCGAAUCCCACAUCGGGCUCCCGGUGCAUGGAGCCUGCUUCUCCCUCUGCCUAUGUCUCUGCCUCUCUCUCUCUCUCUCUCUGUGACUAUCAUAAAUGAAUAAAAAUUAAAAAAAAAAAAAAAAAAGAACCAGAGAGUCUGGAAGGGCCUUCUGGGUCAUUUGACCUAAGGAGUAAAGAUGCUCAGGGAGAAGCAGCAGAGACGCCGUGGGGGAGCCCCACAGACCACUGGUGUCUCACACACGAGCGUCCUAGGCCAGACCAGAUCUGUGCGGCCGCCGGGGGCCCGCAAUCCUCUAUACAAGGGGCUUGGGCCACCCCGGUUUGCAAGGGGAGGGCGACAGGACUGCAGCAGCAGAGAAGUGCACGGAUCUGUUAGGGUGGAGGGUGU